UUUUUUAAAUAAUACUUUGAAUGACUAUUGAUAACAACAAAUAAAAGAUACACCUAAAGAGCACCGAAUUGCACAACUACCUUCCAGAAAGGGUGCUGUAAUUCUUAGGCCUCAAGACAUUCACUAGUUACACAAUAUUUUCUGCAAAAAUCCGCUACAAUUGUGCACUUUUCCAGACCGUUUGAGUAUAUCUAAUCUUUCUAUAAUUUUUUUUUAAUUUGUGUGACUAACAUCUUAGCAUGUAUAGUUGUUACCUUGAAAAGCUUCUAGUUUCUAGCUCUCCAUGUGUAGUAUAUCAAUGCUACCCAUAUAGAUGUAAUCUUUUCCUUCUUGAAUUGCUUCCAAUAUUUUCUUUUAAUGCUGUCUAAUACUUGUUGUAAUAAUACUACAACAAUAUUAUUAUUUAGAAAAUAGAGAAGAAAUAAAGAAGGAAAAAGAAAUGAAAACUUUUGGUCGUCGGAGAUGGCAUCACCGAAUUAGAUACAGCUCGUUGCGACAAGUCCAUGCUCGAGAUAAUGAAAUCGAACUUCCGAUUUGCAUCCUUAACAUCAUCGAGUUGAGUUUGAAACUGAUUCUGGUUCGUUUUUAUAUAUUCGAACCUUUGGCUUGCAUGCUCCACAAACAAAGAAAGUUGCACACGCAUAUCUCUCAUCUCCGUUUUAAAGUUUGAAUCUCUGAAUUUGAGGCCGUGGUAGCUGAAGUUUGAGUCCCAGGCGGCUCUGAUACUAUUGUAACAAGAUGAUUGCUCUUGUUACCAGUAAGAAAGAGAAUAGAGAGAAUAGAGAGAAAAGAGAGAGAAGAAGAUAAGGAAAAAAGAAAAUUUUGAUUCAAUAUCGGGGUGCCUUCCUCCGAGUACAUUGACAGCAUAAAUAGCAGAGUAUCCAAUAUUGGAUUCUGGACUCUUCCUAAUAGCUUGACACCCGUCCAAUUCCACUAAUAGAAUUAUGGACUUCUUUGAACAUAAACCAUAAACUAAAGAACUCAAAUAGACGUAAUAAAUACUUAACUAACGACUACUAAGAACUUAGCUAAAUCACUUAAAAUUCAAAAAAUCUCUAAUCAUAACAUAUUGUCAUAAUUAUUUGUCUAAUUUUUUUUUUCUUUUGUUUUGAUAAGGUUUCAUUAUCUGUCCUUUUCUCUUUCUUUGGAUCAAAAGCUCACUCCGAUGACUUCUAAAUCAGCUCAACUCACUGCGAUAGUCAUUGCUCACUCAGUUCAAGCAAUAGCUGAAGCUGGAGGAGUUUCAGGAGGAUGGUGAAGAAGGGGAGCAAAGCCAAUACUUAGAUUUUGGUGCAAUGGGCUAACCUGCUGCCAGGAGAAGCUACCUGGGAAGAUUGCAAUUUCAUAGUAUCUCAUUUUCUAGAUUUUAAUGAACCCUUCAGGACAAGGUUCUGAAGAAGGAUGGAAUGUUAUGAUUAGAGAUUAUUUAAAUUUAAUUGAUUUAGUUGAGUCCUUAGUAGUCGUUAGUUAAAUCAUUAUUAUGUCUAUUUGGGUCCCUUAUAUUAUGGUUUAUGUUCAAAGAAGUCCAUAAUUCUAACAGUGAGAUUGGACAGGUGUCAAGCUAUUAGGAAGAGUCCAGAAUCCAAUGUUGGAUUCUCUGUUAUUUAUGCUAUCAAUGUAUUGAGAGAAUGGCAUCCCGACAUUGAAUCAAAAUUUCCUUUCUUCCUUA